GAUGAACGCUAGCUACAGGCUUAACACAUGCAAGUCGAGGGGUAACGAGAGGAAAGCUUGCUUUCCUUGUCGACGACCGGCGCACGGGUGUGUAACGCGUAUCCAACCUGCCCCCAACUAGGGAAUAACCUUGCGAAAGUAAGACUAAUACCCUAUAAUUUCCUCAGAUGUCAUCUGACGAGGAAUAAAGAUUUAUCGGUUGUGGAUGGGGAUGCGUCUGAUUAGCUUGUUGGCGGGGUAACGGCCCACCAAGGCAAUGAUCAGUAGGGGUUCUGAGAGGAAGGUCCCCCACAUUGGAACUGAGACACGGUCCAGACUCCUACGGGAGGCAGCAGUGGGGAAUUUUGGACAAUGGGCGAAAGCCUGAUCCAGCCAUUCCGCGUGCAGGAUGAAGGCCCUCGGGUUGUAAACUGCUUUUGUACAGAACGAAAAGGUUUCUACUAAUACUAGGAGCUCAUGACGGUACUGUAAGAAUAAGCACCGGCUAACUACGUGCCAGCCGCCGCGGUAA
rnacentral:rRNA from 1 species